AACGCGAAGAACCUUACCAAAUCUUGACAUCCUCUGACCCCUCUAGAGAUAGAGUUUUCCCCUUCGGGGGACAGAGUGACAGGUGGUGCGUGGUUGUCGUCAGCUCGUGUCGUGAGAUGUUGGGUUAAGUCCCGCAACGAGCGCAACCCUUGUUCACUGUUGCCAGCACGUUAUGGUGGGGACUCAGUGGAGACCGCCGGGGUCAACUCGGAGGAAGGUGGGGAUGACGUCAAGUCAUCAUGCCCCUUAUGUCCAGGGUUUCACGCAUGCUACAAUGGCUGGUACAGAGAGUGGCGAGCCUGUGAGGGUGAGCGAAUCUCGGAAAGCCGGUCUCAGUUCGGAUUGGGGUCUGCAACUCGACCUCAUGAAGUCGGAGUCGCUAGUAAUCGCAGAUCAG
rnacentral:rRNA from 1 species